rnacentral:rRNA from 1 species
GAUGAACGCUAGCUACAGGCUUAACACAUGCAAGUCGAGGGGCAGCAUGAACUUAGCUUGCUAAGUUUGAUGGCGACCGGCGCACGGGUGAGUAACACGUAUCCAACCUUCCGUUUACUCAGGGAUAGCCUUUCGAAAGAAAGAUUAAUACCUGAUAGUAUGGUGAGAUUGCAUGAUAACACCAUUAAAGAUUUAUUGGUAAACGAUGGGGAUGCGUUCCAUUAGGUAGUAGGCGGGGUAACGGCCCACCUAGCCUGCGAUGGAUAGGGGUUCUGAGAGGAAGGUCCCCCACAUUGGAACUGAGACACGGUCCAAACUCCUACGGGAGGCAGCAGUGAGGAAUAUUGGUCAAUGGGCGAGAGCCUGAACCAGCCAAGUAGCGUGAAGGAUGAAGGUCCUACGGAUUGUAAACUUCUUUAUACGGGAAUAAGUUUCCUACGUGUAGGAUUUUGUAUGUACCGUAUGAAUAAGCAUCGGCUAACUCCGUG